AACGCUAGCUACAGGCUUAACACAUGCAAGUCGAGGGGCAGCAUGAACUUAGCUUGCUAAGUUUGAUGGCGACCGGCGCACGGGUGAGUAACGCGUAUCCAACCUCCCGUACACUCAGGAAUAGCCUUUCGAAAGAAAGAUUAAUACCUGAUGGUAUGAUGAGAUUGCAUGAAAUCAUCAUUAAAGAUUCAUCGGUGUACGAUGGGGAUGCGUUCCAUUAGAUAGUAGGCGGGGUAACGGCCCACCUAGUCGACGAUGGAUAGGGGUUCUGAGAGGAAGGUCCCCCACAUUGGAACUGAGACACGGUCCAAACUCCUACGGGAGGCAGCAGUGAGGAAUAUUGGUCAAUGGGCGCGAGCCUGAACCAGCCAAGUAGCGUGGAGGAUGAAGGUCCUACGGAUUGUAAACUUCUUUUAUAAGGGAAUAAAGUCACCCACGUGUGGGUGUUUGUAUGUACCUUAUGAAUAAGCAUCGGCUAACUCCGUGCCAGCAGCCGCGGUAAUACGGAGGAUGCGAGCGUUAUCCGGAUUUAUUGGGUUUAAAGGGAGCGUAGACGGGUCGUUAAGUCAGCUGUGAAAGUUUGAGGCUCAACCUUAAAAUUGCAGUUGAUACUGGCGUCCUUGAGUACGGUUGAGGCAGGCGGAAUUCGUGGUGUAGCGGUGAAAUGCAUAGAUAUCACGAAGAACUCCGAUUG
rnacentral:rRNA from 1 species